rnacentral:lncRNA from 1 species
GGAUAAGGAGAAACUGAUCACGAGAGAAGAAUAUGACAUCCGAAGCACAAGAUCGCAUAGUAAAAAGCUGAGAAAAGGAAGAUGUCUGAGAGAUGUUAAAAAAUAUAGUUUCCCGCAGAGAACAGCUGGUGGAACCAAUUUGUGAUGUGAUCAACAGCUCUUUAAUGGAAGGGAAAGUACCAAGGGUAUGGAAAAGAGCAAAUAUAGUGCCAAUAUACAAAGGAGAAAAAAGACUGAACCCCUAAAUUAUAGACCAGUCACUGACUAGCACUGUGGAAAAAAUCCGCAAAAUUGUGACCAAGGAAAAAUGGGUGGAAUAUCUGAAGGAAAAUAAAAUUAUAAAUAACUCCCAAUUUGGAUUUAGGAAAAGGAAGAUCAUGUAUAACAAAUCUACAAAGUUUCUAUACAAGAGUAAUAGACGAGGUACGUACAAGGAAGAGAUGGAUGGGUUGACUCAGUGUAUUUGGAUAUCAAAAAUGCUUUUGACAGAGUAUCACAUAAAAGACUUACGGAAAACAGAGCAUAUAGGAGGAAUACAAGGAAAUAUCUCAAGCUGGAUGAGGGACAACUUAAUGGGAAGAGAAAUGAGGACUGUGGUAAGAGGCUUCAAGUUGGAGCACAGUAACUAAUGACAUACCACAGGGUUCAGUGCUGGUACCUAUAAUGUUCCACAUAUAUGUUAAUUAUAUACAAGAGGGCUUAGUAGCUACAUAAAUUUGUUUGCAGACAAUGCAAAACUAUUGAGAGUAAUAAAGAGCAAAGAGGACUGUAUGGAAUUGCAAGAUAUUGACAAGAUCUGGGAGUGGAGCCAAAAGAGAAAAUUAUAUUUUAAUGCUAAGAAAUGUCAUGCGAUGGAAAUAGGUAAAAGUAAUAGAAGACCUACAUGGGAAUAAGAAAUGGGAGAAGAGAUUAUAAUGAAGAGAAAGGAAGAGAAAGACCUGGGAGUGUUUAUAUAAGACACCCUGACCCCAGAAAGACACAUAAAUGGGUUAUUUACUUCAACAUAAAAGAUACUAACAAAUACCAGGUGGCACUUACAGCCGGUUCCUGAAUUACUUCUUUUUGGUCCGUUAGGCAGCCAACCAAGCAAUUUGUGUCCUGUGCCGUUCCAGAAUGCCUUUUUCCAUCUGUUUUUUGUCCGCUAGUGGACCAAAGAUUGGAACUUUGGUCGAGGGGUUUUGCAAAACACUGGUCAAGUGUCCGGGCGACCAAAGCUACCGCCUUGUAUUUUAAAUUUCCAAAUGUAAAAAGAAGCUAACUGUAAUUAAACUUAUUUCAGUCUAUUUACCAUGUCAAAUUUUUUUGAUGGUACAACAAAGUUUUUCUUAUGCUAUAUUGAGCAUACAUUUUAAUUUUUGAAGUCUACUGUAGUCGCCUUGUGAGUUCACGCCAAACAUCAACAACAGCCUAAUCGACUCGUCACAUCUCUACUUCACUGACUAAAUUUGGUACCAUGGCUGCAUUAGAAGAAAUCAUAGAUGAAGAAAUGUAUGAAAUGGAAGAAUUGCGACGAGUGAGGAUUCCACGCAUAUAUAAGAUCUUAUGGUGUAUAAUGUAGGUAUUGCAAAGUACAAAUAGUAUGUAAGAAUGAAUAAACUUAACCAUCUACU